rnacentral:lncRNA from 1 species
UAUAUUCCCCCAUCAUUAUCUGAUUAAAGGUAUUGAUUUGCAAACAAAUCGCUUAGAUAAGUUACAGUCGUGGUCAUCUAACCUGAAACCUGUGGACAUCUUAUAAAUCUGAACACGUUGUGUUAUAUUUCCUGGUUUGGGCUCUCCACUGCUCUAAAGUGGUGAGUAUUGGUGAAUUUGUUUAUGGUAGUUGUAUUUUUCACACUUCCAUUAAUACACGGGGUCAUGUUGACUACCACCAACCCAUCCAUCGAGCCACGCAGAGUUAUUUGCGUAAUUUCCUAUUCAGUUCAUUUCGUCAACAGACAAAAUGUUAGUCAGACAAGAAGCAUGGUAUCUGCAGAAGUCGUUUGCGGCGCUCCAUGUCACUGUUCUGUCACUAAUAUUAUAACAUCCAAAAGACUUUUCAUUAAAAUUCCAGCCAUCACGACAUGGUUUAAAUCCAG